GUUUUCGUUAUUUUAACCUUAUGCAGUGAUUACGGUACCACGAACAACUAUUUUACGUUAUUGCUGUUAGACAUACACAGUUAGUUGGCCUGAUCAGAGCGGUACAUGUAAGUGCUGGUACAAGUAACGUAACGCAUUUUAAAAUGUUGCCUGUUUAUUAGGAGAGACUGUUAUUGGCAUGUCAUAGCACAGAACUAACGUAUUAUCUUUCUCCUUUUAAGUAACAAGCUUCUCCUGUGCAGUCAAAUCAGUCCCUGUCUUCAUCCUUUGACUCCAGUGACUAGUGACAGGAUACACUCAUUAUUGAAGAAAGGUCUUCCAGUAAACGAAUGAGACUAGAUGAUGGAGCUAAAAGUACAUCACCAACAAGGAAGGUGAACGAAAACUAUGCCAGAGGAAUUGUGCCUUUGUUCCUGUACCUCAGUGUCCCCUUCUUCAAAAAUGACUAUGAGCAUUACUAUGAUGUUGGUAAGAGUGCCACCGGAUACUUGCUAUGGAGAAUCAAAACUAAACUGAGAGGCAUUUCUAACGAGGAAU